rnacentral:rRNA from 1 species
GACGAACCGUGCGAACGUUGUUCGGAAUCACUGGGCUUAAAGGGCGCGUAGGCGGCUUCGCAAGUCCGGGGUGAAAGCCCCCAGCUCAACUGGGGAAGUGCCUUGGAUACUGCGGGGCUCGAGGGAGGUAGGGGUGCGUGGAACUUCCGGUGGAGCGGUGAAAUGCGUUGAUAUCGGAAGGAACGCCGGUGGCGAAAGCGACGCACUGGACCUCUUCUGACGCCGAUGCGCGAAAGCCAGGGGAGCAAACGGG